rnacentral:rRNA from 1 species
GACGAACGCUGGCGGCGUGCUUAACACAUGCAAGUCGAACGGAAAGGCCCUGCUUUUGUGGGGUGCUCGAGUGGCGAACGGGUGAGUAACACGUGAGUAACCUGCCCUUGACUUUGGGAUAACUUCAGGAAACUGGGGCUAAUACCGGAUAGGAGCUCCUGCUGCAUGGUGGGGGUUGGAAAGUUUCGGCGGUUGGGGAUGGACUCGCGGCUUAUCAGCUUGUUGGUGGGGUAGUGGCUUACCAAGGCUUUGACGGGUAGCCGGCCUGAGAGGGUGACCGGCCACAUUGGGACUGAGAUACGGCCCAGACUCCUACGGGAGGCAGCAGUGGGGUAUAUUGCACAAUGGGCGGAAGCCUGAUGCAGCAACGCCGCGUGCGGGAUGACGGCCUUCGGGUUGGAAACCGCUUUCGCCUGUGACGAAGCGUGAGUGACGGUAAUGGGUAAAGAAGCACCGGCUAGCUACGUG